GAGGCACCGAGACCUAUCUGUCUUGCCUCCACCUUGGCUUGGGUAAUUCGCUCCAGAUCAGCCAUCCCUCCUUUAAUCCCAAAGGAAGACUGAGGCUUGUGUUCUAAGCCUUUGUCUUGCUAUAUCUUGGUUUAUGAGUGCAAAAUUCAAAUUUUAGUUAUAUUAACCCAUCGAAAUUCUAAACUAAAAGAGAUUCUCACAUCCUGUGCAAAAAUUCACAGAAUAUCGUGAAAAAUUAAAGAUAAAUUUGAGCUUCAACAGGUGAGAAUGCAGUCAUGAAGACAUUUAUUCUACGUUAGUGUCUGAGCCGAUGUCGACAAUGUUGGCCUAAUUUAGAUCAACCAUAUUUUGUUUUAUGUAGCUACACUUUCGUCCUACAUAUAAUCCAUGCAGAAAUAGUCUAAAUCUAAACGUGACAGCUUAUGAACUGACUUGAUCAACGAAUGAUCCAUUUUAAGCAGGUUCAGGUUUAACAUAAAUAUAUCAAUUCAUAAAUAAAUGGGUUAGGUUCCGGUUUAGACUUUUAAACUAUUUAACCCGCUUUGCUCUGUUUAAUAAUUGAGUUAGACUCUAAUCUGACCCAUUUAACCCAUUUUAAAUCUAUCUAGUUAAAACCUAUUUAACAUGUUUUUGUCUUAUUCAACCUGACCUGUUUAACUUAUUUAAAAUCUAUUUAAAUCAAUUUAAUUUAAUAAAAAUCUACUUAAUCUAUGUAGCCCGUUUAACCUGACUUGAUCUAUUUAAUAAAUAGGUUAUGUAGGCCGGCUCAAGUGAAAAGAUUGGGUUUAGAUAUAAAUUUUUGAUCUGUUUAAUAAACAGGUAGGAUUUGGGUCAACAAAUUUUUGAUUCAACCCAACCAAUAUCUGAUCCGAUGUAAUUGCCACCCC
rnacentral:lncRNA from 1 species